rnacentral:rRNA from 1 species
GACGAACGCUGGCGGCGUGCUUAACACAUGCAAGUCGAGCGGAAAGGCCAUGCUUUUGUGGGGUGCUCGAGUGGCGAACGGGUGAGUAACACGUGAGUAACCUGCCCUUGACUUUGGGGUAACUUCAGGAAACUGGGGCUAAUACCGGAUAGGAGCUCCUGCUGCAUGGUGGGGGUUGGAAAGUUUCGGCGGUUGGGGAUGGACUCGCGGCUUAUCAGCUUGUUGGUGUGGUAGUGGCUUACCAAGGCUUUGACGGGUAGCCCGCCUGAGAGGGUGACCGGCGACAUGUGGACUGAGAGACGGCCCAGACUGCGACGGGAUGCAGCAGUGGGGAGUAGUACGGAACGGGCGGAAGCCUGAUGCAGCAACGCCGCGUGCGGGAUGACGGCCUUCGGGUUGUAAACCGCUUUCGCCUGUGACGAAGCGUGAGUGACGGUAAUGUGUAAAGAAGCACCGGCUAACUACGUG